rnacentral:sRNA from 1 species
GAGAACGGAACCUCCCCCGAAGAGAGAGGUCAGUUCCAGCGUUUCGGGGAGGAAACGCUCGCUUUAAAAACAAAGAAGCCCGCCAGGUCGUUAUCCCCCCUGAGCGGGCUUUUUC